UGUCAGUAGAACAUCUAAAUGAUCAUUGGCUAGUAACUCUGAUAUGCCGAUGGUCUUAGGUCGGAGGUUGAUCAAGUCGUUUGCUUGUUGAUCGAUAGUUGCCGACUGUAGAUCGGUCAAUCGUUUGUGAGUAGGUGCGAUAUGUUCAGUUGGCCGAUGUAGAGUCGGAGUCGGUGAAAUACAUUCAGUCGGCAUUUGAUCAUAGAGUCAGAGUCGGCCGUCGUAGAGUCGGAGUCGGCCGUUGUAGAGUCGG
rnacentral:lncRNA from 1 species